rnacentral:tRNA from 1 species
GGGGUUGUGGCUCAGCGGUAGAGUGCUCGCCUAGCAUGUGUGAGGCCCUGGGUUCGAUUCUCAGCACCACA